rnacentral:rRNA from 1 species
UACGAAGGGUGCAAACGUUGCUCGGAAUCAUUGGGCGUAAAGCGCACGUAGGCGGCCCUGCAAGUCGGAUGUGAAAUCCCUCGGCUCAACCGAGGACGUGCAUUCGAAACUGCUUGGCUCGAGUAUGGAAGAGGGUCGCGGAAUUCCCGGUGUAGAGGUGAAAUUCGUAGAUAUCGGGAGGAACACCAGUGGCGAAGGCGGCAUCCUGGACCGAGAUUGACGCUGAUGCGCGAAAGCCAGGGGAGCAAACGGG